rnacentral:tRNA from 1 species
UGGACGUAGCCNAGUGGAUUAAGGCAGUGGAUUUGU